rnacentral:rRNA from 1 species
UUGGAGGGCAAGUCUGGUGCCAGCAGCCGCGGUAAUUCCAGCUCCAAUAGCGUAUAUUAAAGUUGUUGCAGUUAAAAAGCUCGUAGUUGAAUUUCGGGAUCAAUUUAUCGGUCGUGCCUACGGUAUGAACUGGUACAAUUGGUUUCUCCCUUCUGACGAGGCAUGAUGUCAUUAAUUUGGUGUCGUGGGGAAUCAGGACUGUUACUUUGAAAAAAUUAGAGUGUUUAAAGCAAGCACACGCUUGAAUACAUUAGCAUGGAAUAAUGAAAUAGGACGUUUGACCCUAUUUUGUUGGUUUCUAGGAUCGACGUAAUGAUUAAUAGGGAUAGUUGGGGGCAUUAGUAUUCAAUUGUCAAAGGUGAAAUUCUUGGAUUUAUUGAAGACUAACUACUGCGAAAGCAUUUGCCAAGGAUGUUUUCAUUAAUCAAGAACGAAAGUUAGGGGAUCGAAGACGAUCAGAUACCGUCGUAGUCUUAACCAUAAACUAUGCCGACUAGGGAUCGGAUGAUGUUAAUUCUUAAUGACUCAUUCGGCGCCUUACGGGAAAC